ensembl:lncRNA
GCAUGUUAUUUGACGCAUGAAGCUGAUGCAUGAAGCUGAGGCAUGUUAUUUGACGCAUGAAACUGACGCAUGAAGCUGAGGCAUGUUAUUUGACGCAUGAAGCUGAGGCAUGUUAUUUGACGCAUGAAGCUGAUGCAUGUAGCUGAGGCAUGUUAUUUGACGCAUGAAGCUGAUGCAUGUAGCUGAGGCAUGUUAUUUGACGCAUGAAGCUGAUGCAUGUAGCUGAGGCAGGGCUACAGCAAUAACCACAGGAAGAAAGAACCACACUUAAAGGUAAACACAAGUUACUGUAGAUGCAUUGCGGACAUUUGUCCCAUCCCAGGUUCUCGGGGGAAAUAUGGAGCCGGACUUUCCCACUUCAAAGUGCAAAUAAGAGCAACUGGGAGGAGGGGGAGGAAUGAUUGGUGGGGUUGUGGGUGGGGCAAUGUGGCUGGCAAGAUGGGGAUGGGGCACCUGGAAAAACAUCUUUUAAGUAAUUGCAUGGGAAGAAACAGGCGGUUGCCUCAUCUUUCGGUCUUGCUUUCUCUGUCUCUUCUCCCCACACAAACACAACAGCUGGAUGCUGCUGAUUCAGUCUCUUGAGCAGGAAAUUGCACUUCCUGGCAAGCUGCACUUGAAAUCUGGACGGACAGUUAGAAAUAGACUAUCGUGGGUUAGUAAUCACGCACACACACACACACACACACACACACACACACACACACACACACACACACACACACACACACACACACGCGCACUCCUUCCUCUAUGCUGUUCACACAUUAAAUCUAUGUGUCCAUAUCUUCCCAGUGAUAUCAAGCAUGUAAACAAACUCCACCGGUGUUUACAACACUGAACAACCUCCACACACGCAUGCACACGCACACUGUACACCCACUCACCAAUGCCUGCACAUUCCUCCUGGACACACACAUUAGAGAAAAUGAAUGAUUCAGUAUUAAACGCACACACAUACUUGCCUUGCAAGAAAACAUGAAAAAGCUCAUAUAAACUAUAAACUCCAAAUACAGGUAUCAAAAUGGUUUGUUUCAUUGCUAAAAACAACUCACAAACAAUCAGCUUUAUGUGAGGUUUACACAAAUUCAAUUAGCAGAGAAACUCUUAUCAUUCUCCUUAAUCCUUUGCUUCCCAGACCUCCUGCUUCUUUAGUUAAUCUCCAAAUGGUUGAAUGGAUUUAAGAGCAGAAGCAGGUGACACGCUUUUUCACCUCUCCGUCCUCCUCUGGCUUUCUCCCUCCUUCUUUCUCCCUCCUCCACCUAAAAGAAGGUGUCCCUUCAAUGUGACCUUCACCAGGAAGCACUAAAUCCCCAGAGGCCCCUUGUCACAACAGUCAGCCAAAACAUGAAUGAGCAUGCGUGUGUUUGUGCGUGCACGUGCGUGAGCCUCCGCAAAAAAAGAAGGUGUGUACUUUGUGUGACUCUGCCCCCACGGGGGGGCGUCGCAAGGGAAGUGGGUCUUUGUUAAGGAGACGCCCCGAAUAGGAAACAAACGCACAGCCAGGAGCAGGUCCGUACUGGCCCUCUCACUUCAUGUACACAAACACACAGCCCCAGUGCUGCUACUGCCAUCGCACGCUACGCCAACAAACACACAACAAAAAUGAACCGAGAGAGACGAGCGUCUUUGGGGGAAUUGACUUCAGCACCACAACAGUCGUAACAAAGGAGGGAUUACAAGGUUUCAUUUAUCGAAUUACUCGUGAGGAAAGAAGUACGAAAUAUAUGGAAACGUUUUACUACAAUGUGCAGUUAAACACACGUAUACACACGAGUUUCAGAAGACCGUGUCUGUCCUUCAUCCAUUCUUUCUGUCUAGAAUUCUUUCUCUCACUUUUUCACUCUCCCACACGCCCAAACGUCCAACAAACAAACUGCAGUUCUGACCCAAUUCUCUGCUUCUUUCUGUAAUCCAUGUAUGAAUUAUUUAUUGACUCUGCAUGUUUGCACACACACACACACACACACACACACACACACACACACAAAAACUCCUCCAUCAUAUUUCUUGAAAAUAAGAAUCAAAUAAAUUCGAGUUCAUUCAUCAGCUGUGCAUGAAUCAAAACUGCCACCUAAUGCUUUUUGGCACAAAGAGAAAAAGUAAUUACAGCAGGGAAACCGCAGGUCUUUGUCUCCAAACAGAUAGAUUUGAUAAAAAUGUUUGCAGAGGGUUCUGGUUGCCCAACAGAAAGCACAAAUCCCAUCUUCACAACACUACGUUUUUUAUCUUACAAUCACCCUCCUCUCGUCCGCUUUCCUGUGUCAAGUAGAAUAUGCGUAAUUUAAAACACACCAAGAGGUGUUGCAUCAACUGUGCCAGAUGCACAAGGCCAUCAGUCUUUCUUGAGGAGGAGCUGGAGUUUAAGCCGGCUGGAUUGCAUAAGAAAGGCCUGCUGGGUCCCUCACAGAGGGACUCAAGCAGCAGGCGGAUCGGAGGAUAUCUGACACAAUUAAACCCUAAAGUAAGAACGAUGACAUCCAAGUCUAUUUAGGUUCUACAAGAAGCACAAAUGUGAACGGAAGGACUUUGGGACUGAAUAAAUACAGGUGAGUGAGUGCGUAUGCGUCCUGCUGAGACUUCUGGGAUCUCUCGUUUUGUCUGCCAAAGUUAUUGUCCCGGGGAGACCCAGGCCGCCUCGACCACAAAUCACUGCACUCUGGAGACACACACACACAUAGCUGUUCAUAAUGAAACCCCGUCAGCAGGCUUGAUAGAGCACGUCCCAGAGUAAUACCACUACUCUUUAUUGGUCAAAACAGCAGUGAGGGCUGAAGCCAGCUGAAUGCAGGCAGGUCCGCGCCUACAGGCGCGGCUUUAUAGAAUCACUUUGGAGGUAUUUCCCAUGUAAACAAAGAGAGGAAAGGCGGGAUAAAGGGAGUACUGAUUUACAUGUUUUCUGUUUUCUAUUACUAUUCCCCUCCAGGCAAUAAAGUUGAACGGUAUGUGCAUUUCAGCUGCUCCAGGUAUCCUUGGAUGAGAAUGUCCUCACACUGAAAAUGUAACAGCGCCCGGACCAUUACACAUUACGUUUAACAUUACGUUUGUCCAGCUCCAAUAUACUGUAUUAUUUUUACAAUUCAGUGUAACUAAAGUUGGCCAUGAUUAUAAUUGCCGUCUAUGGGGGAGAAACCGUUAGCGGAGGGACAUCAACAAUCAGCAAUUAUUUUGAAUUAAAGCCAAAAAUGAUUGUGUACUAGUUUCAAAAGUGUCCACAUGUGAUACGUUGCUUUCUCUUUCUCUCACAGUAAACUGUCAUCAUCCCCCGUUUAAUCCCUUUGUUGAUUAUUAAAGCAUCGCUAAGCUAAGUUGUGCUAGCAUUAGCUGAUGGAGGCAGCUUCCUUCAUGCUUUGCAGCGGGCCGCCAUGGUGGGUCAGCGACUGAACCUGAGCUAACCACGGCUAACCCAACAUGCAACAUGCCUUCAAACUGCACACAGAUCAUCCAUCCUUCAGUCCGUCUGUUCCUGGACCAAACUAUUAAUGGAGACUUCUUGAACACGUUUAGUUUUCAACAUUUAGUUUUCAAGGACGUUGAACCGAGUGUUGUGAAUUUCUUCGGAGAUCGACGGGAACCCCUUUCAAUCGCACUGGUCCUUUCUUUACACUUCCCUCCUCUCCUCAUUAUCCACCUCUCUCCUUCACUUAAUUCUUUCCUCUUUGUCCACAAAUGGCGGCACGCUCCCGCUUCAAACGCUGAGUCGGCACAAGUGCUCCUUCACAGUUCUGCAACUCCAGCGCUACACCAGCUGUUCGGCCAGCGCUCUUCACAUAGCUCACCACUUCAUUAGUAGCCACACAAUAGCGUCAAGGACUCCAGGACGCACAAUCACACACACACACCAUCUAUAUCCCCUUAGAGAAGCCGCUUAGAGCAAAGAGGAUGUUUUUGUGCUCCUGUGCAAAUGAACAAAAACAUUGAGUCACGUCUUUUCUUAUUCUUAAACGCUUCCUGGUUCAAAAAAGCAAGGCCUUGUAAGGCCACAGCACACAGUCGCACACGCAUCCUGCUUUUUGUCCUGCACGGGGCGAAAGAAAAAACAUGCCGCUAACAAGCAACAAUUGUAGGCCACAUGAGACGAUUAUGAUGACGGUAAAAGCUGGCAUCUGCUAAAAAACAUCCCAAAAGAAGGUACGCAAAAACAGCUCCACGUUCAUAUUUGUGCACACAUACACACAAAUAGUACAGAGAGCACCCACACAAACAUGCACAGCGACACACUUUCACACACAAAGACACACACGUAAACAUAUGCCAACUGUACCUUGCCUGGAGCUCACUGUGACCCGGCCUCUGCACUGUGCAACUCUAAAAAGCACAUUUUGAGUGAUGUCAUGCUUUUGGCAGCGUUCUGCUGAUGCACAAGGUGCCACACAGACAUCAGACAGCCGACACACACACAUUGCACACACAAACAUGUACGCUGGCACAGGAGACAAAGAACACACAGAUGAACCUAAUGUGAUGUACCGCUGAUGUACCAGCUGACGCCAACAACAACUUCAAACGAGAAACCACAAGAAAAAAACCACACACUGGAAGCCGUGCCGUGACCUGAUGAGAUGCAGCCGGGGUUCAACAUCAAUGAGCUGAAGCAUUGUCAGUAUCCGCCUAAUAACUUCACACUCGUACGACACUUUCAGAUUCACAAGGGACACACAAGGGGAUGAAACUGCAGCAAAAUCGAUGUAGCUAAAGUAAAGAUGUUUUUUAUUACCUGGGUUCUUAUUUCCUUUCAAAACAUGGCAAGGAAAAACUACACAUACUUACACACGUGCAUAACACGUAUGUGAAGAACACACCGGAUGCAUCGAGCUGAACAAUUUCCAACGUCCACCCCGUUGAUUGAAUGUGAAUCUAACGAACGAUUUAGCCACGCUACCAAAACAGCUACUAUUACAAACAAAACAAACGCGGGACAUAAUUUAUAAGUAGUUGUUGAGUGGUCGGGCACAGCCAGAGCCCAAAAAGGAAGCGAAGUAGAGCCAGAUGACACGGAGCCAGAACCAGACCAGAUCCAUUGCCGGUCACAGCUGAAUGGCUCCUUCCAAAGCGUCCUGUACUCAGACAUUCCCCAAAUGCCGCAAUGUUUUUACACGAACAGACAUCAUUCAAAUGUUUAAAAAAAGCUGCACUACACAGACUGAUGCUAAUACAUUAACCGCUAAAAUAAGCAGCCAACUGACGAGAUCUGCCCACUAGCUGCUGAUCGUGGGACGCAGUCAGUGACGUUUAGCUGUGAGGUGAUGUGUGUCAAGCGUGGUAUGACCGGUUGUCUCUCUCUCUCACACACACACACACACAGACUGCUGAGCAACACAGUUCAUGUUCAGUUCUGAACACAGCAAGCAUAGAUAUGUGAAAAAGAAGUAAAAAACAUAUUGAUGGCUGCCUUAAAGAAGUCACAGUCCAAAUCAUGAACACCUCCGGCCUCUCACAGUGUCACAGGAAGACGCACACAUAUAAAUGUCUUUUUUUCGCUACGGUAAAGACGUCUUUUGAACAUUGUGUCUCUCAGACACAUUAGCUCUCACUAAGCAGUUCCACGCAGACUUUGUGUUUACAAUGAAGGAAAGAGGAGAUCUCCAGAAUUGAACAGAAAUCCAUAUAUGAGCAUGUUUAGACUGGACAGCCAAAGAUGGCCUAACUAGUCUGAGAGCUGUUUGAGUGUGUGUGUGUGUGUGUGUGUGUGUGUGUGUGUGUCUGUGCGCGUGUGUGCAUCUGCAUGCGUGUAUGUGCGUUGACUGCUGUCCCUGUCCAUCAGAGGGUCAUAUGAGGAGCAGAUUAGGGUUUCUAACCGCAAACCCCCGUCGCCACGGCCCGAUGUCACCGGGAAGGGGUCAUCGCGUUCCUCAGCACCACCGGCUCACCGCUCCUUAUCUCGCUGCCAUGCAAGAGUGCACACAACACACACACACACACACACACAAAACCACAUCUAAAUCAGGACGUUGUGGUGCAGCUCGUCUCACGUUUCCUUCAUCUGCAUCUGCAGCCUCGUCACCUUAUUCCACCGGGGAACCUCUGAAUGUGCCUCUCGGUUGUGUGUACCUCACAUUUAAUGGAAAGCUGUCCGGUGCCGCGCAUGCUGGUAUAAAAAAAUAAUAAGAUGGACCAUCAGCACAAAACGAGAAGAUGCGCAUUAAAACAAAAGAGGAGCAGCAAAUCCACGAAUUUGAAAGGAUGGAACCAAGUAAUGUGUGGUAGAACUUUCUGUUGAUCUCCAAUUCCAAUUUUCUCUUAAUAUCCUUUGAUAAAACUUGAAGCGUAAGCUUAACCCAACCUCUAAUUAGGAUUUCCAUGACGUACGUUGGAAUAUUUGGUUGAAAUCGACCCAACAGUAAUCAAAUUUGUUCCUACUGGUAGCGGUCUGAAUCUACCUCUGUGGGACCGAGUCUCCUUCUCGUUUCCAUUUCUCUUUAAUGUCGACUGUUGUUCGUGACCUGGCACGUAAGGCCUUCAUUUAAAAAGCAUAAAAAGGCAGAAGCGAUGUCAUCCAACCAUAGUUUUGAAUUUGAAAAUGAAUGUACAUCCGUUUCAGUUGGACCAGCUGUCACUUUGAGCCGGUUAGGGGCGGCAUUUACGACACAUCAUACAAACCAGCCCUUAAAACUGGACUCCCCCAACCCCUCACCCAACCCUCCCCCCUCCCUUCUAUUAAACCUGUGGCUGCACGAAACCUCAACUGGGGUAAAACUUGUGGGAACAAAAAGAAAAUCACAACUUCAAAAUGUUGCCGGGGACUAAAGGCCUUCAUUACAGCCGGGACGAAAGCAAUAUUUAAAAGGAACUAUUGCUCAUCUGUAAUCCCAGUUAAGCCUGUAAAUAAACGUAAAGCACGAUCGCACUCCAAAGCGCUUCUCCAGCUCUCUGCAACAAAAGCCACAUCCUCUGUUACUGCCUUAUUUUCUUCCCAGUGUUUAGUGUCUAUUCUCGGAGGUGGUGUUUGGGCAUGUGACCCAAGCCGCCGCUCAGUCGAAUGUCCGGCUGCCUUUUCAUCUCAGGGUAUGCGUGUCUCCGAGUGGGUCACGCUCGACCCGAUCCACAGAGACGGGGGGGGGGGCAACGUUUUCUCAGUUCACAUCACCACGAGACUCCACCAAAACCCUCACUGUCGACCUUCCCUUUUAGCUCCAAGUGCAUGCUCAUUACAUGUUCAUCUAGCUCCGCUCGUCUCUCAACCUCCAUCCCAAUCAGCACCGGUUUGUUUGCAUCCGCUUUGUGAACGACAUCCCUCCCCCGAUGCCGCAUGCUGCCAGCGUCUUCUCUCCCGCUCUGUGUGCUCAUGGUUUAACCGGUGCUUUGGUGGACAUUUUGUUUCAUCUGUUUGAGACGUCACCGCACUGGGGUUUUCAGCGCGUUGCCAAGAGCGAGUCGCUAGUCUCUACCGUCUCCAGCCGGGAUGUGGGUUUAGCCGAGCGUGUGCCGCUGCCGCUGCGAGCCCGGCGUUUAGGUCUAGACUUUCCUAAUGAGAAGCGGCACCGGUGUGCAGCGCGCUGUCAGCUUAUGGGGAUAUACUGUACACCCAUUAAUCUGAGUUUAUGCAUUUCAAUGAGCAGAAAAACAUGCACGGACGCAGACUUGAGAAUAAUUCUUUCAUGUGUGUAACAUCUGGCUCGGAGCCACGUUGCACCUGCGGUUUGUGCUCGCCCUCAAGUCAAAGCCAAACUGUGGGCUGUGAUUUGAACAAGAACCGGUUACAAACUGGUUCUUAAGAAAAAAAUAUCUGACAAUAGAAAUGUAAAGCUAUUUAUGCUUCCAUACAUCCUGAACACAUCUGACAUAGUACAUUAAAUGACUUGACUAAUACAGUAAAUAGCGAUGAUUUAAUUGUAUAUUUCUCACUGCAUUAAUACUACUAAAGCGAACAUUGCAUUGCUUUUGCCCCUAAAGCCCCAUUCAGCUUAGUUACUGCACAUGGUUCAAUCUCCUGAUUGGACAGUAUCCCCCGAACAUCACUUCCACUCAAUAGCUAAGAGAGGUCCAACGUCUCAACGGUGCAACGAGAGUUAGGAAAUUAUUUUUGAGGAACCAGCUGUCUUUCAGAAUGUGCUGGUGGAUUCAGAAUAGCUGGUUGAAGCCAAUCCGAGGGAGGAAGAAGAGUUUUCGCUUCACGCGCCUGAAGAAGGUGGUGACGUUGACGCCAAUCAGGAAGCAACGGUUGAAAGAGAAGAGGAGAGAAGGAAAGCUCUCCAGCUGAUCGGCUGCAGCUGCAGUCCUCACUGAGAAAACCCGCUGCUGGUUUAUAAAACCCCGAAUGGUUUAGAGACAAAAUACAUGUCUGACCUGCUGCUGCCUCACGAACCCGCCGACCUGAGCGGAGGCUCUCAGCUGCUUCAAAUUAAGACCGAGGACUUCGCUGAGGACAACGUUGAUCAAUUUCCUGCAUUUUACUACUGUGUUUUAGUACUGCGACUGGUAUUAUCUUUUGAGCCUGUUUAAAAUGAUUGUUUUUAAUGUUCCAAUAAAUGUUCUUUAUAGUUUUUAAAUUUCAUUUUCUUUCGCCUCAUGUUUUGAUGCUUUAAAGGACGUGAUGUGAAGCCUCGGGGUUGAAAUGUGCUGUACAAAGAAAAGGGCCUACGAGUAAAGACAGUGUGAACAAAAGGUAAUAAUACAGAAUAAAACGUGAUUGAAAUGUAAAACGGCCACAUUGCAAAGAGAUGAGGAUGAUGUAACAAGAAACAACAAAAGAACUUGGUUUUUAUAACUAGGUUAGAAAACUGUAUUUUCAGAUUAAACUAAACAUAAGAAGUGAAAGAGAGUGUUUUACUGGCUUCCAAAUAUAGCUGCGGGUUGUAUUUACAUGUAUCUACAUGUGUGUGUGUGUGUGUGUGUGUGUGUGUGUGUGUGUGUGUGUGUGUGUGUGUGCGUGCACGCACAUGUGUUUGUAAUAUGGCAGCAUAAAAGCAAAGCUUUACUACACAAGCCAACUCAUGUACGGCUCAUUAAAGCCUGAUAAUGUCAAACCAGAACUUAAACACAGCGCUGUGGACCUGCUGUCCACACACACAAACACACCCACGCACAAACAUAUCGACACACACACACAUACAGCUUUAAAGGCCACAGCUUACACAGUAGAACGAACUUGGUGAUCUCACACAAAACCACCUCGUAUAUAAGGACAGCUUGCAGCCUGCGGCAAAAUGUAUUCACACACACACACACGCACACACUCACGCACAAACAGACACACAUUUUCCUCUGGUUUGUUCCUGUCACCUGGAGGCUGAGGAGAACAACAAGACCUUUGGUUGUAGGCCAGCACGUCAAGAGUACAAAGACAAUGGCCACAGCGUGUAUGACUCACCAUGACACACACACACGCGCACACACACACACACACAACCUCCCUUGGGUUAGGCUUAGAAAAGAACAUUCCCUCAUUAUAGCAGCAUUUCAGAGUGCGAGCGCUGUGCUGUUACUAUGGCUCUGGCUGGCUGCGAGCCUGGACCUUCACACAGAGUCCUGUCACAAUUUAUCAUACUAACACACAGACCCGCAGCCUGGCACCGACAAUCACACACGCACGCGCACACUAACGCGGGCGGACAGGGAUGUCAAUACGGACGCUCGCACCCUUCAAAGUGAUAAAUAGACGAGGCGAUGGCGAAAAAAAUAUCAACUGCGGAAAUGAACACGUGGAAGGAAAAAGCUGGAAGUGUGGAGGGAGAGAUCCAGACCUCAAAGGCUGAUCAGGACGUGAAUUAUGCACUUUUGAUGAAAGAGCUGUAACUCGGUAACAUACUUUAGGAGCCUUUCAAAGCCCUGAAAGUGUCAGAAAGGAAUUUUUAUUUUAGUUUUGAGAGUUGACCAGCAGCCAGAAAGGAAAAAUGUGAAUUUGAACAUUGAGUUAUUUUUGGACCCCAAAAAAGUACAAGUACAAAAAUAAUCUAAGCUCAAAGGUAUUUGCUGGCUUUCCUAGUGUUCAAACACAUCUCACAACCUUCACGCUGUUGGAUUUACAGCUGCAAGCUGUAGUGUCCCUGCUGUAAACGACCAUGUGUUCUUUUUUAGCCACAGGUUGCUGUGGUUACUGACCUUGUUGUAAAAAGGUGAGGAUGAUCGGUUCUCUGACCUCUUUAUUUGAUUGUUUGUAGACACCCUGAGUUAGAGCUCGGUAAGUUCAUAGAAUAAAAUAAAAUAAAAAUAGAUUCAUUACAUUUAUUUUCAGUAUUUAUUUAAUUAGAAAUGGAUUUUCCUCCUCCAACAAAAACACUAAACAAAGCCAAUACAAGGAGUAACAGAAGGACAGGAGGGGUCAAACUGAAAAGACAGUAUGGGCUGGAUUUUAUCAUCAUCAUUGCUGGGAGUCAAUAUGAAGAAUGAGAAGCUGUGCAAUAAGUGGCUGUGCACGGUGGGUCAGAGUGAGGCCAACUGCCUUGUUAGUCCCGCCUUAUCUGGAGUGGUGCAACACACACACACACACACACACACACAGCACGCAAUUCUCCAACCAAAAAGUCAAGUCCUCGUCUGCCUCAAAUCCCUCAUGCAUUUGGUAUGACGGCAUGAUGUAUGCUGCUGGGACGUCUCAUUGGCUCACAUCUCAGCAUGCGCGUGUGUGCGUGUGUUUGUGUGUGUGUGUGCGCUUAUUCCCGUAAAAGUUGAGAGGGGAGUAAAUGGUAUCAUGUUAAGUUGGCGUGUGGAUGUCUUUUCUUCUUAGCAUUAGCUGCCAGUAAAUACUUCAGAUGUAAACGCGUGUGCGUUUCCAUAAAGCACGAGGAAACGCACGGUGAUUCCAAACUUUCCAGUCAGAGUUACUGAGCUCCUGGCAGGCAGAGUAGGCAGACACACAGUCAUCCUGCCGGUAUACUGCCAAGCCUGACAUCUGUAUGCCGUUAGACACACGUAUGCAAACAAACACACACACACACAGUUUAAAAGGCAUUCGAUCACAAAACACCACACUGACACCUCCACAUGCUCGGCUGGGUGAGGAGAGAGAUUUAUUACUCAAACCACUCGCACAACUUCAUGGACCGAACUGACUGCAAUGGCUGAAAAGAUGGAAGCAUACUUCAGUGAACCCUUCACGCAUACGUCAAGUGGAUUUGGAAUUCUCGAAAAGAGGCAACUUCCGAGUCAAGAGCUUGAGAUAAAUUUAGAACAAUGUAUGAUAUAAAAGCUGUCAAUCUGAAAAUGUGUUUCCGCUGCCACCCUUUCUCAUCAACAAUCAACAAGUCUAAUUCCCCACCACUGGAAAUGUACCUGCACACACACACACACACACACACACACACACACAGUUGUGAUCCCUCAGAAUGCUGCUCUUGCAGCAGCAGUGACGGUGCGACUGUGUUGGCCUUUGAAGUCAGGAGUCAGUAAACCUCUGGGAGAUUGGCUUCACCCCCAUCUCCACCCCUCCGUCAGCAAAUGAAGAGCAGCUUCCCAAAAAGGCCUCAUUAGAAAGUCGAGAGUGGGGACCUUCUGGUUAUAAUGAUCUAUUCAAAAAGCCUCGGGGCCUUUGUGUCAAGUUAAGUCCAGAGUGUUUCAUCUUCUGGAAAAUACUCGCUCAUUUCGAAAGCAUCAGUCAUUCGUACGUGCCUUUAGAAAAGCUUUCCAUCUCUUGUACUCUCUUCUUUUGCCCAGUAACAGAGCACUGUUUGGGAUUAGGACUCUGGGUUUUAGCGGGGGAGGUAUUCAGACUUAAAAGAGUGGAAUCGAGGGAGUCCAUCAUACUUAGAGAGAAAGUAACUAGACUUGACAUUUUUGGGAGGAAAAAAAAAUUCACAGAUUUGAAUUAAAACACCUUUUUUCUUCUAGCUGCUCACAGUCAAACAUGUUCACUCAGAAAAAGACAGAAAUCAUUGUCAUCAAAUCCACAUUCCCCUGAUUCAGCCUCCAUGACGGAUACUUUGGCGACUUGCCUUGCCAGGGUUGUGAAUCAUAACACUCCUCACCUGCUUUGCCCCUUUUACACCCCCGCAUGCCAGAAAGCGAGCCACGUGAUCCCCAUAUCUUUCUAUGAUGCACCCGGGAAGAGUGGAAAUCGGAUUGGAUGUAGCGCCAUGCGUGUGUAGAAAUAUUGUGGAGCGUGUGUGAGUCUAUGAAAGUUAGUUCGAAAGUUGACCUCACGAUGAUGCCAAAGUAAACCCAUCUAUAACUUAGAGCUGUGGGAGCGCCUUUAUCAUCAUCAACAACAACAACAACAACACAGUCCCAGCGCGGGUCCCCGAGGACCCGAACGCUAAAAGCCCCUCUGGUUCCCACGAGUGCACGGCUCACGCACUGACUCACUGGAUUGUUCUAUCGUGAAACUCUCUACAAUGUUGCUACAAAUAAACCCAGUUAAAAACAAACAAGUUUAAAUCACAAGGUUACCAUGAUGAAAUUACAGUAUAAUUACGCACACGGGCCACAUCAACGCAGUGAACGUUGUUGAAGUUGGUCCCGUCACUCCGUUGCUCAGAUGAAUGCUUCAGAACUCAGACCUUUAAUCAAGAUACGAUCAGAAAGUCUGAGCAUGGGAUUGUAUUGUAAUUGUAGCUAAAUUUACCUUCCAGUUUGUUGACGUUUUAAACGCACUGGGACCUUUACUCAGUAAUAAGUCGAGUAUAAAUCCCUAAAGUCUGUGUCUUGAUAACAUACAGCAUGUUGUGUUUCUGUAUGCAUUGUUCAUAAAUCAGCUUAAGAAAACAAGAUGAAAAAGCAAUGUCUUAAUUACGUUUAAUGUGAAAAGAUAAGAAAAACGGGGGAAAACGUUGGGACAGGCCUCUAUCUACAAAAUUCCCCUUUCUUUUUCUGUUCUCUCUCCUGUGACUCCCCUCCACCCCGCGGGAAAAUAAAGGCAGCAUGAGCGAAGGCCAGAAAUACUACGAAAAGAACGCACGACAAUACAGAACGGGGGGAAGAUGGAGGCACACAAAGUCAGAGUGGAUGGCGUGUGCAGGUGAUGUGGCCACAGCUGUACAACAAACGGCCUUUGAUUCACCCGCAGCUCAAACACAUCACCUCACUGAUUAAAGUAUCAAAGUACCACAUCGUAGCUUUCAUGGGGCACUGACACACACACACACACACACGCACAAUAACAUUCUUGCGGUGGAGAGUGAUCUCCCAGAUAUUUAUACCAGCAUCAUAAGAGGAAAAAGGUGCUUUGUCCUUUCCUGUAAACAGAUAAAUAUUCUCAUCACACACACAAAACUAGCCAUUUAGUUUUGGAUCAGACAGUUACUCUCGUCUCUGGUGUUUCUCCCCCCUGGGGGGCCUGUACCUGACAGGGGGGAGAAGAAGAGGGCGGGUGAGAGAGGACAAAGGUGCCGUCAGGGCGGUCUGAAGCUAUGUUCCUUAUACGUGUUUCCAGAAAGGCAAAACAGGGGAGGGAGAAGCGAUGUUUCCAUCCAACUGUCGAGGGAAUUUUGAGUAAACUCCCCGAAAAAUAUUGAGAAAACAAAAAUGCUGAAAUUCUUCUUUCCGAACAGCUGAGCUUAAGUGAAUAAACAGGCUUCCUGGUGGAAAAAAAAAGACAUCCACGGGGAAGACUUGACAAGCUGCUGCUGUCUUUUGCCAUCAGAAGGUUUUGCGCAUAUCACAUUCGUCCACCAAUGACCAAAGCAGGGAAAAAUAGAUGAAAUUAUAAUGGAUCUUGCACGGAUCACUAUACAGGCAGAUUAGGAAACUCACCCGUGCAAAAGCGAUUUGACAUUACUAGGAGGUUUUCUGAUGGACAACAUUUCUGGACUCUCAAUGGAGCUGAACAACAAGACAGAUUGUGCCUAACGUGUCAUUUUAAAAGGAAUCCACUUAAGUCUGAAGACUGUUUUGCCUGAUUGGUUGGAUGGGAUCUUAAUUGUAGCCUUGCUUUAAGUCGGCAGAGAAGGGGAAAUGUCUCUGAUGCCUUUCCAAGACAUCAGGAGACGAGACAAAGAAAGACAAAAAAAAAGCCCCCUGUCAGUGGAUUCUACGGCUCUCGGCUCGGCUCGGCUCUAACUACCGGUUAAAGUUACCCUCGUCUGUCUGGUGUCGGCGUACGUCUGUCUCACAGCGGCGGGAUCCAGCUCUCUGUCUGUAGCCAUGGAAACCACCACGAUGCAACGCUGGGAAUUAUAGAAAAGCGGCGGUGUAUUUUACGAAUGCCACACAUGCACAGAAAACCGCCCGUCCCUGAUCAAAGAGGGAAGCCACGCAAUUUGUCUCAAAGGCUCAGGUAGUAUCGCCUCCCCGGGUCUUCUUGUAGUGAAAGGUAAACUUUUCACGGCAGGCGAGUCGAGCAGCACACUCACGUCCGGUGGAGCCCCGCUUCACACCCGCACGGCUGUGGGCUAAAUAAGAAAUCAAACGGUUGGCAAACGUGACCUAUUUACUUGACACCUGUUUACUCCCCUCGCCCCGUCUCGCCCUGCCUUUCACAGCCCAGCGGCCUUCUGGUAACGAGCCCGCCGCAUCGGCUACGGAUACUUAGCGCUAGAAUUACGGGCCCUCGGUAGCCUGAGAACCGGUCAAGUCGUGUCCGAAAUGUCAUCACCUCAUUAUUUUAUCAUUAGUCAUUUGCGUGGAAUUGUCAUCAAUAUCAUAGAAAUUCUUGGACGUUUGUGCCCAAAUGUGAAAAAAAAAAAGAACCCCCAGGCAUUCUUAAGGUAUCGUGUUCACGAGAAUGGGCCGGAUGAAUACGUCCGAAAACAUAAUCCCUUGGGGCACAGCUGUCACUGGCAUAAUAAAACCUCUUCCCGGGAACUCUAGGCCGUAAAAGUGAAGCCAACCCCUUCAUGAAUUAGCAGUCCUAGCAUGUACGCGUGCUAUGCACAUUUGAAUCCGCCCUCAUGUCUCCUCCCUGUAUGGCGCUGUAGACUACCUCACAGAGCAGAAAUGCUGUGGAAGCGAGGGGGGGGGAGGAGGGGGGAGGGGGUGGCAAGACCACGGUAAUAUACAGACAGUCUAAAGUGUAGGCCGCCCGCGUGGAGAGAGACACGGAUCAUUUGCAUUCAGGUCCGCUUGGCUGAGCACAGAGGACGGAUAACGGGAAAGACGAGAGAGGCGGUGAAGACAGCGAAGACAAAAGAUUGAGAGGAAAGAGAGAAACCCUCGGUGGUACCGAGCGGCGCCCUCCAACAGUGAAGUGAAGGAUCGCCAUCUUUAGCGAUGCGUGCCCUCAAAAGAGCGGCAAGCACAGCGCAGCACGCGCGACACAUAUGAUGCAUGAGCAGAUAUGAGAAAUGCAUACACGGUUUUCUGUGGAAUUAUCUCUGGUUACACUGAACUCCACCUUGAGCAGCUACACACACACACACACACACACACACACAAUCACACACAAUCACACACAAUCACACACACACACAGCCACUAGUGGUCAGACUGGCAGGCAGGAGGGAAGCUUGAGUGUGUUUGGAUCUGACCAGUACACCGUACACUGGAUGCCAACAAUCCACCACACACACACACACACACACACACACAUACAGAAAAACACACUCAUACCACUGGUUUGUACAACCACAGGCUCCGGGUGUGUGCGUGCAUACAUGUGAGUCUACAAGCGCCUCGCAUACAUGCUCAAGUGAGUGUGACCUUGUUUUUGUGUGUGUGUGUGUGUGUGUGUGUGUGUGUGUGUGUGUGUGUGUGUGUGUGUGUGUGUGUGAGCCACCGUGUUACAGUGCCCUCUAAGUGUCCGUGUGGGAGCCGGUGUUUACCGGCCGAGAUAAAGGCCGUCGCUGCUCUCUCACCGCCGUCCUGCUGCACUUCCUCCUCGUCCAACCGGAAAGAAGCAGAGACCCACUCAAGCUUCAGCAAUGUCACAGCGAUCGUAUCUUCCUAAUAAAACCUCUUGAAUGGAUUUAGAUUAAUCUGAACGAGGGGCGGGGGGCGGGGGGGGGGGGGAGGGAGCCAGAGAGGGCACACUGGUGAAAUAGGGUCAUUUUCUCCCCCCUCCGGGGGAGAAGCAACCUCCUCCGCAUCGCCUCCCACCUCACAUGUCGAUGUACUUACAGCUCUGCAUAAACCUUCACGCCGCGCCAAGAUGCUGGCUGGCAUAACAAACAGGAGAAAGUCCUGAAAUAGUCUCUUCCCCUGUUCCCGGCGCUGCACGGGAGGUAUUUCUGCGGUGGAGCGAAUUACUAACGUUGGAUCGAAUAAUCCACGUCUUUCUACUUUCUUUUCUCCGUUUUUUUUUUUUUUGCUGGAUUACUGUCAGUUCCUGUCGGCUGCCUUCCCUUUAUGCCUCAUUCCUCUCUUUAACUUGCAAUUUCUCUACCCCCCUCCCGCCCCUCCCCCCCAUUC